AAAACAAAAACAAAAAAACUGAAACGGGGGAUCGAGAGAUCGAGAGAGAGCGCAGGCUGCUGUCAAGAGAGAGAGAGAGAGAACGCCGCCGGCCACCACACGGCUCUGCCGCAGUGCUGCCCGCGUUGCGCCUCCACCCUCCCACACGCCUCCUCCGCUGGCCGCCACCCCGGCUCCCGCCGGCCCCGCCCGCUAGGUCAGGGAGUCGCGCUCGCCGUCGGACCAGCGCGGCAGCGCAGACUCGCCGCCAGGUCCGGGCGUCGCCGGCUCGUCGUCUCCUCCGACUGGCCGACUCCCCAAAUUUCUCCGAUCUUCAAGUUGACUGUGGCGCUGUCCAAUCUUCAAGUCCCCUGUGCACAUCAAAUCCCCAAUCGGAAUUAUUUUGGCCCAAACUAGUUUGGCACGGGGCAUCAGCAGUUCCUGGCUCGGCCGUUGUGUGGAGGGAUCAGAGCACAUGGCGGCAACCAACUCUGAGAUCGAGAGGCAGCAGCAGGAGUACGCCAGGGAGCUGGCCAAGUACAAGGAGGACUGCAAGGAGUUCAAGAGGAUGGUGUGCAUGAUGGUAUUAUCGCUCUCAAUCGCCUUCACGUUCUUGAUCUCCAGCUUCCUCGUCCCAGGCACACACCGCAUGUCCUGCAGGCUCAGCGCCGGGGCCUUCUUCCUUGUGUCCGCGUACUUCAUCGCCAUUCACCAGCAGAAAUUUGGUUGGUCCGUGUUCCCCAAGAGGCCAGAGUGCGAAGUCCAACUCGUUGGAGGAGACAGGGUCUAAUUGUUGCUGAAGUCGUUGUAUAUACUCCCUCGGUCCCGAAAUAAGUGACGUGGAUUUGUAUAGAAUCUUAUAUACAAAUCCACGUCACUUAUUUUGGGACUGAGGGGGUAUCAGUAACAUAUUGAUCUGUGUUUGGGAGGGCAGCAAGUGAGAUGGCUUGCCCUCUAUCUGCAUUUUAGUGUCAACCAUCGUCAAAUUAGGUUGUUGCUACUAGUGCUUUUUAAUCUAGCUUUGGUGUUCUGCAUGAUUUGCUUGCUGCUGAGAUUCAGACUUCCUUUUGGCUUGGGGAGAGUACUUAGGACGCAUCAACUCAUAGCUCCUACCUAUUGUGUCACAAGAUAAAUGAUCCAAUACUUACUAGUAGUAUUUUCAGUGUUUUCAUCCUGAAUAACCAUUCCAUAGCGAAUUAAAUUC